GGAGGUAGGGCCAUAGCUCAGUGGUAGAACAUCUGCUUUCCACGCAGAAAGUCCCAGGUUCUGUCUCCCAUGGCAUCUCCA